UGAAAGACAUGGGUAGUGAGAUGUUAAAUUCACUCACCUUGCUACUCUGUCUUUU
rnacentral:pre_miRNA from 1 species